CUGGCUGUGAGCACCAGCCCUGCGGCCUUGGCUGCAAGCUCUGCUCUGUGAUGGAUUUCUACCCUGCCAAGAUCCAGAUGAGGUGAUUCCAGGGCCAGCAGGAACUCUCAGGGCAUGUGGUGGCCACCGACCUGGUCCCCAGUGGGGCUGGACCCACCAGCUCCUGGUGCUGCUGGAAACACUAACCCCUCAGCGUGGGGUCACCUCCAGCUGCCAGGUGGAGCACGUCAGCCUGGAACACCUCCUCAGCUGGCACUGGGGCAUGGCCUGGAUCCCACAGUACAGGAGGGAGUGGGGGAGGCACUGGGGGGCUGGGAGAGGGGUUGGAGUGUGCUGGGAGUAACUGGGAGGGAGUUUGACAGAGCCUGGUUCAAACUGGGAGAGGGGUUCAGGGGUCUGGAAGGGCUGAGAAAGGGUUGUAUGCAUGUUGGGGAGAGUGGGAUGGGGUUCGAGGGGUCCUGGUGGGCACUGGGAGGGAGUUUGGGGGUGCUGGGUGUAACUGGAAGGGAUUUGAGUGAGCCUGGAGGGGAUGGAAAAACACCAGGGAUUGGAGAUCAGGGGUUGGAAUGAGGUUGGUUGUGCUGGGAAGAGACUGGGGGGAUCUUGGUGAAUCCUGGUGGUGCUGGGAAGGGACUGGGAGAGGGUUUGGGGGUCCUGGGGUAGUAGGUAGCAACGGGGAAGGGGUUAUGGGAUCCUGAGAGAGACAGGAGUGUCUUUGGUGGGUCCUGGGGAGGCUGGGAAGAGACUGGGAGGAGCUUUGGGGGCUCCUGGGUGGGCUGGAGAUGAACGGGAGGGUGCUUGGAGGGGCUUGGAGUGUCUGUGAGAGGUUUUGAGGGGUCCUGCCCUGUGGACUCCCAGAGGUGCUGCUGGACGCUGCCCGCAGCCAGGUGCUGAUGGGUGUUAGGCUUUGUUUUCCUGGUGCUCAGGCUCGGCUUCCACCUGUGCAAGAAGAGAGCUCCUGAAUCAACAAUGGCUGCAGCCUCUUCCCGUGGCCUCGAAUCCAGCCAGGAUCCCCGGCUCUGUCCCCGCGCUGAUUUUGGAGGAGGUCGAGUGUCCCCUCCAGCCCAACUGUCACUCUGCCCCCGCCCAGCUGCUCCCAGUGUUCCCAAUAAAGCUUCCCAGUGCG